CUACGGGGUGCACCAGUGAGGAAUAUUGCACAAUGGGGGGAACCCUGAUGCAGCAACGCCGCGUGGAGGAUGACGCAUUUCGGUGUGUAAACUCCUUUUAUAUGUCAAGAAAAUGACGGUAGCAUAUGAAUAAGCACCGGCUAACUCCGUGCCAGCAGCCGCGGUAAUACGGAGGGUGCAAGCGUUACUCGGAAUCACUGGGCGUAAAGGACGCGUAGGCAGGUUGGAAAGUCAGGUGUGAAAUCCUACAGCUUAACUGUAGAACUGCACUUGAAACUUCUAAUCUAGAGUAUGGGAGGGGAGAUGGAAUUAGUGGUGUAGGGGUAAAAUCCGUAGAUAUCACUAGGAAUACCUAAAGCGAAGGCGAUCUCCUGGAACAUUACUGACGCUAAGGCGUGAAAGCGUGGGGAGCAAACAGGAUUAGAUACCCGCGUAGUC
rnacentral:rRNA from 1 species